CAUCUGUUGUGGAGUACAUGAAACAAUACAUGCCAAAUGGUGCACCAAACUUUGGCUCGACGCAGCGUACAGAAGGAACCGACGCUUCAGUGACCAGUCUAGACCGUGCUAACAACAUUGAGAAUGAACAUACUGAUCGGGACCAAGAUGAUGACAUUAAAUCAUUUAACCCUUUGAAUGAGGAUGAUGAUGAGGAUCUUGAUGGUGAGGAUGAAGCAGGUUCUGCUGCCUUUUAAGUAAUCUACUCGUUAAAUUUCCUACUCUUUUUAUGGUUUGAGUAUUGUUUAAUUAUGCUUUUCGUCC